AUUGAACGCUGGCGGCAUGCCUUACACAUGCAAGUCGAACGGUAACAGGUCUUCGGAUGCUGACGAGUGGCGAACGGGUGAGUAAUACAUCGGAACGUGCCCGAUCGUGGGGGAUAACGAAGCGAAAGCUUUGCUAAUACCGCAUACGAUCUACGGAUGAAAGCAGGGGACCGCAAGGCCUUGCGCGAACGGAGCGGCCGAUGGCAGAUUAGGUAGUUGGUGGGAUAAAAGCUUACCAAGCCGACGAUCUGUAGCUGGUCUGAGAGGACGACCAGCCACACUGGGACUGAGACACGGCCCAGACUCCUACGGGAGGCAGCAGUGGGGAAUUUUGGACAAUGGGCGAAAGCCUGAUCCAGUCAUGCCGCGUGCAGGAUGAAGGCCUUCGGGUUGUAAACUGCUUUUGUACGGAACGAAAAGACUCUGGUUAAUACCUGGGGUCCAUGACGGUACCGGAAGAAUAAGCACCGGCUAACUACGUG
rnacentral:rRNA from 1 species